GCGGCGUGCCUAACACAUGCAAGUCGAACGAGAAAGUCCUCCGGGGGUGAGUAGAGUGGCGCACGGGUGAGUAACGCGUGGAUAAUCUACCUAUGAGUUUGGGAUAACUUCGCGAAAGUGGAGCUAAUACCGGAUGGUCUGUCGAUUAUACUUUGAUUGACGGUAAAGAUAGCCUCUUCUUGAAAGCUAUUGCUUGUAGAUGAGUCCGCGUCUCAUUAGCUUGUUGGUAGGGUAACGGCCUACCAAUGCGACGAUGAGUAACUGGUCUGAGAGGAUGAUCAGUCACACUGGAACUGAAACACGGUCCAGACUCCUACGGGAGGCAGCAGUGGGGAAUAUUGGGCAAUGGGCGCAAGCCUGACCCAGCAACGCCGUGUGAGGGAUGAAGGUCUUCGGAUUGUAAACCUCUGUCAGAAGGGAAGAAGUGCAAGUGGUCCAAUAGGCCAUUUGUUUGACGGUACCUUCAGAGGAAGCACCGGCUAACUCCGUGCCAGCAGCCGCGGUAAUACGGAGGGUGCAAGCGUUAUUCGGAAUUACUGGGCGUAAAGCGUGCGUAGGCGGCGAGGUAAGUCAGGUGUGAAAUCCCACGGCUCAACCGUGGAACUGCACUUGAAACUGCUUUGCUUGAGUACUGGAGGGGAUGGCGGAAUUCCUGGUGUAGGAGUGAAAUCCGUAGAUAUCAGGAGGAACACCGGUGGCGAAGGCGGCCAUCUGGACAGUAACUGACGCUGAGGUACGAAAGCGUGGGUAGCCAAACAGGAUUAGAUACCCUGGUAGUCCACGCUGUAAACGAUGGAUACUCGAUGUCGGGGACUUGAGCUUCGGUGGUAAAGGUUAACGCAUUAAGUAUCCCGACUGGGGAGUACGGUCCGCAUGCUGAAACUCAAAGA
rnacentral:rRNA from 1 species